rnacentral:rRNA from 1 species
UAAGGAAUAUUGGUCAAUGGACGCAAGUCUGAACCAGCCAUGCCGCGUGGAGGAUGAAGGUCCUCUGGAUUGUAAACUUCUUUUAUCUGGGAAGAAAUCCACUUUUUCUAGAAUGGUUGACGGUACCAGAUGAAUAAGCACCGGCUAACUCCGUGCCAGCAGCCGCGGUAAUACGGAGGGUGCAAGCGUUAUCCGGAUUCACUGGGUUUAAAGGGUGCGUAGGUGGGCAAGUAAGUCAGUGGUGAAAUCUCCGGGCUUAACCCGGAAACUGCCAUUGAUACUAUUUGUCUUGAAUACUGUGGAGGUCAGCGGAAUAUGUCAUGUAGCGGUGAAAUGCUUAGAUAUGACAUAGAACACCAAUUGCGAAGGCAGCUGGCUACACAAAUAUUGACACUGAGGCACGAAAGCGUGGGGAUCAAACAGGAUUAGAUACCCUGGUAGUCCACGCCCUAAACUAUGGAUACUCGACAUUUGCGAU